UUUCCGUAGGUGAACCUGCGGAAGGAUCAUUAAUGAAUAACUAUGGUGUCUUGGUUGUAGCUGGCUCCUCGGAGCAAUGUGCACGCCCGCCAUUUUUAUCUUUCCACCUGUGCACCGACUGUAGGUCUGGAUGACUCUCGUACUCCGGUGCGGAUGCGAGGAUUGCUCUCGGGCUCUCCUCGAAUUUCCAGACUCUACGUCUUUUUACACACCCCAAACGUAUGAUAUAGAAUGUAGUCAAUGGGCUUGAUCGCCUAUAAAACACUAUACAACUUUCAGCAACGGAUCUCUUGGCUCUC
rnacentral:misc_RNA from 1 species